CUGGUGGAAGGAACAGCGCGGAACAACUCGGGCUACAUUCAGGUCUCUGGUCGCCGAAGGUCGAAUAGAAUUUGCUGGUGGUGGCUGGGUGCAAAGUGAUGAGGCUACUGUUGAUUAUUUGCAGCUUUUGGAUCAGUAUACUUGGGGACUGAGAAAACUUAACGACACUUUAGGUCCUUGCGGUAAACCUAAAGCAGCAUGGCAGAUAGACACAUACGGACACACAAGGGAACACACUUCUUUGUUAGCACAAAUGGGCUUCGAUGGACUUUUUAUAGG
rnacentral:misc_RNA from 1 species